ACAAACCAAGUCCAAAACAAUAAAACCCUUUCAGAAAAUAAACAAAGAAACAGAAAAAUAAACCGAAAGCAGAAAAACAAUAAAACACAGCCCAAGAAAGCAGCCCACACAAAUAAAGACCCAACAAAAUCAAAGGCAGUGGAAAACUCUAGAGACCAUUACGUCUCAGCUGGCAUCAACAACACCCCUCUUGAAGAUAACGCCAUCGCCUGGGAAAAGCAAACUUCAUUCAUAUCAAUCGUUUCUUCCAUCAGUCAACAGCAAUUAAUAUUCACCGACUUCCUUCCCACUUUUCUUCUUGAGAAAUCCAAAAAGUAAAGCUUACUGCAAAACUCCUCCCACUUCAAACGUCCGUCCCCUCAACUCCCUCUGGCGCUCCGUCCAUCUCCUCUCCUCAUCCGCCACAGCCUCAGCCCCAGGAGGAACUCGGUUCAACAGAUAAGUAAAAACUCUAUUUUUAAGACCUUCAGUAGCUAUUAGAUGGGCAACUCUGUUAACUUGAAGGGAACUUAAAUGUGAAAAAGUUAGUGGUUAGGGAAAUGCUUUGGUUAACAGGAUGAGGCAACAAAAAUAUUUAAGCCGUUGUCUACUUAUUAUCACUGGUAAUCCGAGUUAGCACCUAGUGCUCUCGAGUCUUGUUAGGCUCUAAAUUUACGGAUUUGAGCUAAUCUAUGGAUUCAUCUUCUAAUUUUCACUUAGGAAUAACACAACCUGGGCGUCAAUCCGAUCAAUGGAGCUAAGCUCACUCCGAUCAUCGAAAAGCUCGAUUUGGUUGGAAGCUUGUCGGAGACUUAUCACAUUAUCCAACAGUUAAUUUGGUAUUUUUGAGUAUUUUUUAUCAAGGUUAAUAAAGGCGUGUAUAGGAUGUUUCGUUAUGGUAUAAGAUGACUUGUAAUGUUAUUUUGGUAAAUGGUUUGAUGGUAUUUUGGCAUGUAAUAAUUUUGAAACUUAUCUCAGUUUGGUACCAUUUGAUGCUCUAACAAAUUAGGUCAAUUUGGUUAUGCUACUACGCAUAUUUGAAUGGCUAUUAUGGUAUGUUUGAAAUGUUGUAUUAAUGGUUAAGUUUGUGGUAUGUUUUGGUAAA